rnacentral:rRNA from 1 species
AUAGGUUAAGUUAAUAAGGGCGCAUGGUGGAUGCCUUGGCACUAGAAGGCGAUGAAGGACGUGACUAACUACGAUAUGCCUCGGUUAGCUGUAAGUAAGCUUACCCGGGGGUUUCCGAAUGGGGCAACCCGAUCUUAAUGAUCAUCAUCUUUUUGAAUUCAUAGAUUAGAUGAAGCAAACGCUGUGAACUGAAACAUCUCAGUAGCAGUAGGAAAGUAAAGAAAUUUCGAUUCCGUCAGUAGCGGCGAGCGAACGCGGAAGAGCCCAAACCUGGAUGCUUGCAUCCAGGGGUUGUAGGACUGAUGUUGAGUUACAAAGGUAUAAGAUAGCAGAAACAGUUGGGAAGCUGUUCCAAAGAGGGUGACAGGCCCGUAUGCGAAAUCUUGUACUCUCUAAUCAGGAUCCUGAGUACGGCCCAGCACGUGAAAUUGGGUCGGAAUCUGGGAGGACCAUCUCCCAAGGCUAAAUACUAACUAGUGACCGAUAGCGAACAAGUACCG